rnacentral:rRNA from 1 species
AUUGAACGCUGGCGGCAGGCCUAACACAUGCAAGUCGAACGGUAACAGGAAACAGCUUGCUGUCUCGCUGACGAGUGGCGGACGGGUGAGUAAUGUCUGGGAAACUGCCUGAUGGAGGGGGAUAACUACUGGAAACGGUAGCUAAUACCGCAUAACGUCGCAAGACCAAAGAGGGGGACCUUCGGGCCUCCUGCCAUCGGAUGUGCCCAGAUGGGAUUAGCUAGUUGGUGGGGUAACGGCUCACCAGGGCGACGAUCACUAGCUGGUCUGAGAGGAUGACCAGCCACACUGGAACUGAGACACGGUCCAGACUCCUACGGGAGGCAGCAGUGGGGAAUAUUGCACAAUGGGCGCAAGCCUGAUGCAGCCAUGCCGCGUGUAUGAAGAAGGCCUUCGGGUUGUAAAGUACUUUCAGCGGGGAGGAAGGGAGUAAAGUUAAUACCUUUGCUCAUUGACGUUACCCGCAGAAGAAGCACCGGCUAACUCCGUGCCAGCCGCCGCAGUAA